rnacentral:snRNA from 1 species
GUGCUCACUUUGGCAGCACAUAUACUAAAACUGAAACAAUAGAAGAUUAGCAUGGCCCCUGUUCCAUAUUUUUUUAGACAAAAUCUAGAUAGAGCAAAGGUGU